rnacentral:rRNA from 1 species
UACGAAGGGGGCUAGGCGUUGCUCGGAAUCACUGGGCGUAAAGCGCACGUAGGCGGAUUGUUAAGUCAGGGGUGAAAUCCUGGAGCUCAACUCCAGAACUGCCUUUGAUACUGAAGAUCUUGAGUUCGGGAGAGGUGAGUGGAACUGCGAGUGUAGAGGUGAAAUUCGUAGAUAUUCGCAAGAACACCAGUGGCGAAGGCGGCUCACUGGCCCGAUACUGACGCUGAGGCACGAAAGCGUGGGGAGCAAACAGG